GACGAACGCUGGCGGCGUGCUUAACACAUGCAAGUCGAACGGAAAGGCCCUGCUUUUGUGGGGUGCUCGAGUGGCGAACGGGUGAGUAACACGUGAGUAACCUGCCCUUGACUUUGGGAUAACUUCAGGAAACUGGGGCUAAUACCGGAUAGGAGCUCCUGCUGCAUGGUGGGGGUUGGAAAGUUUCGGCGGUUGGGGAUGGACUCGCGGCUUAUCAGCUUGUUGGUGGGGUAGUGGCUUACCACGGCUUUGACGGGUAGCCGGCCUGAGAGGGUGACCGGCCACAUUGGGACUGAGAUACGGCGCAGACUCCUACUGGAGGCAGCAGUGGGGAAUAUUGCACAAUGGGCGGAAGCCUGAUGCAGCAACGCCGCGUGCGGGAUGACGGCCUUCGGGUUGUAAACCGCUUUCGCCUGUGACGAAGCGUGAGUGACGGUAAUGGGUAAAGAAGCACCGGCUAACUACGUG
rnacentral:rRNA from 1 species